GUCUAACUGAUGAGUCGCAAAUAGGACGAAACACGCGUCAAAUAC
rnacentral:hammerhead_ribozyme from 1 species